rnacentral:rRNA from 1 species
AUUGAACGCUGGCGGCAGGCCUAACACAUGCAAGUCGAGCGAGCGGCGGACGGGCGAGUAAUGUAUGGGGACUGCCUGAUAGAGGGGGAUAACUACUGGAAACGGUGGCUAAUACCGCAUACUAUCGGAUAACCCAUAUGGGAUUAGCUAGUAGGUGGGGUAAAGGCUAACCUAGGCGACGAUCUCUAGCUGGUCUGAGAGGAUGAUCAGCCGCACUGGGACUGAGACACGGCCAAGACUCCUACGGAGGCGGCAGUGGGGAAUAUUGCGCAAUGGGAGAAAGCCUGAUGCAGCCAUGCCGCGUGUAUGAAGAAGGCCUUAGGGUUGUAAAGUACUUUCAGCGGGGAAGCGUUACCCACAGAGGAAGCACCGGCUAACUCCGUGCCAGCAGCCGCGGUAAUAC